GGGAGUGGCAAGCGUUAUCCGGAAUUAUUGGGCGUAAAGCGUCCGCAGGCGGCUUUUCAAGUCUGCUGUUAAAGCGUGGAGCUUAACUCCAUCAUGGCAGUGGAAACUGAAAGGCUUGAGUAUGGUAGGGGCAGAGGGAAUUCCCGGUGUAGCCUUGAAAUGCGUAGAUAUCGGGAAGAACCACCAGUGGCGAAGGCGCUCUGCUGGGCCAUUACUGACGCUCUAGGACGAAAGCCAAGGGAGCAAAGGGAUUAGAUACCCUGAGUC
rnacentral:rRNA from 1 species